UACAGAGACUGCAAGCGUUAUUCGGAUUCACUGGGCGUAAAGGGUGCGCAGGCGGUCAGGUGUGUCAGAUGUGAAAUCCCGAGGCUCAACCUCGGAACUGCGUCUGAAACUACUCGACUAGAGUACUGGAGAGGGAAACGGAAUUCACGGUGUAGCAGUGAAAUGCGUAGAUAUCGUGAGGAACACCAGAGGCGAAGGCGGUUUCCUGGACAGUUACUGACGCUCAGGCACGAAAGCAUGGGGAGCAAAAGGG
rnacentral:rRNA from 1 species